rnacentral:rRNA from 1 species
AUGGUAUAUACCCUCCUUGGUGCACUUUUGCCAAGAGCAUCAAAGAACCCAAAACUAAAAAACAGUGUGAAUUUGCAAGGGUGCAAGAGGCAGUCCGAAAAGACAUUGAAAGAGCAUUCAGUGUUUUGCAAUCUAGGUUUGCCAUUGUCCGUGGUCCUUCUCAUUUUUGGGACAUGCUGUGUUAUCCUACACAAUAUGAUUCUUGAAGAUGAGAGAGGAAUGAACUUGGAAUUCUUCUAUGACAAUGUGGGUAGCCGUGUCAAACCAGCUAGAGACCCUAACCGCAUUAGAGCUUUUCUUCAGACAUACAAGGAGAUUGAAAAUGCAAACACACACUUUCAACUUCAGGAGGAUCUCAUUGAGCACCAUUGGCAAAGGGCUGGACAAUGA